GAGUACAGAGAGAUGAUCACUUCCCUGCUCCUGCUGGCAACAGUUUCUGACACAAGCCAGCAGGUCAUCAGCCUUCCUGGCCACCUGGGCACACUGCUGGCUCUUGCUCAUCUGAGCAUCGACCAACACCCCCAAGUUCCCUCAUAAGAAGGUUUGUGUUGGAAGGGAUGACAGAAACAGAGGAUGGCUUGUGUUAUAAGGGACCUUUAAGAUCGUAGAACCACAGAAUGGCUUGUGUUGGAAGAGUGGAAGAUUAAAGAACCAAAGGAUAGCUUGUACUGCAAGGAUCCAUGAAGACCACAGAACCGUAGGAGGGUUUGUAUUGCUAGGAUCCUUGAAGAUCAUAGAACCCUAGGACGGCUUGAGCUUGAAGAGUCCUAAACGAUCCUAAAGCCGCAGGAGGGUUUGUGUUGGAAGUUGUUCUUGAAGAUGAAGAUGAUAGAACCCUAGGAUGUCUUGAGUUUGAAGGGUCCUAGAGCCACAGGAUGGCUUGUGUUGGAAGGGUCUUUGAAGAUCACAAAACAUGGAGUGGCUUGCGUUGGAUGUGUCCUUGAAGACCACAGAACCAUGGAAUGGCUCGAGUUAGAAGGGUCCUUGAAGAUCACGGUACAAUGGACUGGCUUGUGUUGGGAGUGUCCUUUAAGAUCACGGACUCACAGGGUGGCAUGUGUUUGUACAGGCCUUGAAGACCGCAGAGAAAGUGCUGAGGGUUACUAUGUACUUCUCAGGUGUGGAGAGUUACCCUUUUGGGUUACGGCUAAGGAUUACCCUUUUGAGUUAGGGUUAAGGGAUAAAGGUUCCCCAUUUGAGUUUAGGGUUAAAGGUUAACAUUUUGGGUUAGGGAUACGGGUUAAGGCUUACCCUUUUGGGUUAGGUUUAAGAGUUUCCUGAUUGUGUAAGCGUGAAGGCUUUCCCUUUUUGCUUAUGAUUAAGCAUUAAGGUUUAUUACUCUGUAGGGUUAGGGGUUAUCAUUUGGGGUUAGGUUUAAGGGUUAAGGGUUUGCUAUUUGUGUUAGGGUUAAGAAAUACCAAUAUGUUUUAGCAUUAAGGGUUACCCAUUUGGGUUAGCAUUAAUGGUCAAGCGUUGCCAUUUGGGGUUAUUGUUAAGGUUAACCAUUUGGGGUUAUGUUUAGGAAUUACCAUUUACUGCCAGGGUUACGUUUUGAGGGUUACUGUCCCAGGUUAGGACAGAAAGGUUUCCCAUUUGGGUUAGUGUUAAGGGUUACAAUUUUGGUUUGGGUUGAGGAUUAUCUGUGUGAGUAAGCAUUGAACAUUCCUCUUUUGGGGCUAGCAUUAAUGGUUAUCCAUUUGUGUUUGGGUUACCAUUACGGGUUAUGGUUAAGGGUUAGCAAUUUGGGUUAGUGUUAAUGUUUACCAUUUGGAGUUAGGGUUAACGAUUAAGAGUUGCUGUUUGGUGUUAGAGUUAAGGGUUCCAUUUCUGGGUUAGUGUUCAGGUUAAGUAUUACCAUGCUGUGUGUUAGUGUUAAGGGUUAUUCUUUCAAGGGUUAUUCUUUCAAUCAAACUGUUAAGUGUUACUCAUUUGUGUUAUGGUUAAGGAAUACCUAUUCUGGUGAGGGUUAAUGAUUAAGGGUUACUAUACCGGAACAGUUAAGUCAAAGCCUGAACCAGUGAUUGAGCACCUAGUGAAGGGGCAUAGGCGGCCCUGGGAGCACAGGUGGAAGCACUUCACAUGUGCAAACUGCUGUAGCAUGGCUCCGUCCCUCUCAAGCCUCAUUUAAGCAGGUCUUCUGCUUGGAGAUCCUCUUUUGUGGUAUUUUGUGGACUCUGACCCUUAGCAAUUCUUCAUUUAUGGGUUGUGACAUUUCCCUUUCCUGGAGAGUUUAAGACUGGUUUGAAGCAGCUGUAUCGAGCCAGGCUGUGGCUUUUGGGCAGGGUGAACUGACUGAUGUUUGUAAAUAUCUGAAGGGAGGUGACAGGUAAUGGAUGAGGCCUGGCUCUUCUUGGUGUUGUGCAGUGCUAAGACAAAGAGCAAUGUUGUAAAACUCCAACAUAUUGUGUUCCAUACAAACAUGCUGAUGAACUUCCUUACUGUGAGGGUGACAGAGGUCUGGAACAGGUUGCCUGGAGAGGUUGUGGAGUCUUCUAUGGAGAUACUCUUGACUCAUCUGGAUGUCUACCUGUGAGGCUUACUGUAGGGUGCCUCCUUUAGCGUGAGGUUUCGACUCAGUGAUUUCUUGAGGUCCUUUCCAACCCCAACAGUUCUGUGAUUCUGUGUGACAGAAACUCCUGGUAAGACAGAGGAUGAAGAUGGGGAGGAGGAGGGAGAGAUAUAAAUCAUCUGAGCUCUGAUGUUGGCUGAGCUGCACGAUACGCAAAAGGAUUAUGGCCAUCGGCCAAAUGUGCACAUUGCCACUGGGCUGUUGCUGUGCUGGGGUGGUGAGGUGAGUAGCCUGGACUUAGUGGGCAGUGAAGCCAAGCAGCUGAGAUGUCUUUCUAGGGAAAGUGAUAUUCCCAGAGGAACUGGGAAAGGGACGCAGUCUUUUUCCCAGUGGUGGGGACCCUUGUCAGCUGCGAGGGAAAGAUCCUUUCAAGGGAGACUUGGUAUCUAACCCAGGCAAAUGAGCCACCAUGGAGAGAGGUAUCCAGUAUGUGAGUGAACUAGCUGUUCUAGUGAUGAUGUAUGUUAUUAAAUUACACAGUAAUACACUAUCCCAAGAUCCAGAUGAAAUCAUAUGUAUGAGAUCUAUGUGGAGAGUUUUACAGAAUGUAUAUAUUAUUAUAUAUUAUGUAUAUACAGAAUCACCAUCAUAUGCCAGCACCCUGGCAGGAGUGAACUGGAAAGAGAACCCAAGGCCAAAGGUGAAUGAAGUAGCCAACCUGUUUUGGCAAUAGGAAGAUAGGCUUUCUUCAUCCCUCUGGGCCUAUGUCUCAGCUGUGGAGAAGUUGCCCCAGGAGUUCUAGCAAUUCCAAGACUAUAUGCCCUGCUUCCCGUCUGUACAACCAGUGUCUCAUCCAUUAGAACUAAGCAUUCGCUGCUUGGGAGAGAGGAUAUAGCAGUUACACACAACAUGACAUCCUGUGGUUUUACCUGUGUGACUGUGGAGAGGAUAUGAGAAAGUGGGAUGGAAAACCCACCUCAGUCCUACAUGCACGGGCAGGUGAGUUGCAGGAGAAAACAAUAGGAAAAGGGGAUUCUUCCAGAAAAAAAAUGACAGCUCCAGUUUCUAAUGGGCAGCUCUCCGGACAGACUGGAUGGUCGGAUCUGAUUUCUGGGGUUAAGUGUACUGGUUCACGUUCAUGAGAAGUGAGCGAUGAAUACAAUAGGCAGAACUAGAGGGGCCCUGCCUCCAGCCCGGUGGAGGAAAGGGAUCGUCAGUUAUUGGACUGUGUGGAUUUGCAGGCCUGGCAGAUCGGAACCAAAAAGAGCAGCUCCAAAUUGGGAAGAUAUGGAUUUGAUGGGUAGACUGUUGGAUGGACUGGCUGCAAGAUCGCAUGCACAGAGUGGUGGUCAAGGGCUCCAUGUCCGGGUGGAGACCAGUGGUGUCCCUCAGGUGGUCAGUACUGGAACCAGUGCUCUUUAACAUCUUCAUCAAUGACAUCAACACUGGGAUUGAGUGCCCCCUCAGAUUUGCAGGUGACCCCAAGCUGCAUGGUGCAGCCCGCACGUCCAAAGGAUGGGAUGCGAACAGAGAGACAUGCUGAGCAGUGGGCCCAGAGGAAGCUCAUGAGGUUGAAUGAAUCCGGGUGCAAGGCCUGCACCUGGGUCAUGGCAGCCCCCUGCUUUCAGUACAAGCUGGGGGAUGUAAGGAUGGAGCACAGCCCUGCCAAAAAGGACCUGAGGGUACUGAUGGAUGGCAACUGGGCAUGAGCCAGCAGAGUGCCCUCAGCCCAGAAAGCCUGCCAUACCCUGGGCAGCAUCCGAAGCAGCGCGGCCAGCAGGGUGAGGGAGGGGAUCUGCCCCUCUGCACUGUGAGCACUGCAUCCAGAUGUGGAGUCCUCAGUACAGGAGAGACAUAGACCUGUUGGGGCGUGACCAGAAGAGGGCCACAAAAAUGGUCCCAGGGAUGGAAUACGACCUUCCAAGGACGGCUGAGAGCUGAGGCUGUGCAGCCUGGAGAAGAGAAGGCUCCAGGAAGACCCGAGAGUGGCCUUCAGUAUCUCAAGGGGGGCUGUAACAAAGGAGGGAACGGACUCUUUAGAUUCUUCAUAAGGAAGAAGUUUUCUAUGAUAAGCACCAUUCUGUGAUUCUGUAGUAAGGGUGGUGAGGCCCUGGAACAGGGACACUGAGAGAUCCUGGAGCCCUGAGGACUGGGCAUCAGGGCCUGGGGAUGGAUGGGAUGGAGGGCACCAUUCCUGGCCUGUUCCAGGGGCAUCUAGGCAUUGCCACCUCCCAGACCUUCCCUUGUGCUUUGUGGGGCUGUGCAGAGGAGGAGGAGGAGGUCACAGGGCACCCUAGGGAUGGCUCAGGGUCACCGUGCGGAUUGGACAGGGGCUGUAGCUGCUGUCCCCAGGGGACCCAGAUCCUGCCCUGGGCUGAUACCAGUCCUUCUUCCUGAAAUCCUGGGGCACAAACCCUGCCUCUUUGGUAGACAGCAUGGUUUGCUCAUUGUAGUGUAAAGAUUUGCUUUGGAUUUAAUCAAGCACAGAAUUCAGAGAGGAGCGUGACUGCAUCUGACUUCCCUGAGAGAUGGUACUGCAGCUGAAGAGAUGCAGAGGCAGCCAGUAACGUGCAGACCAAGCAGUACUGCCUGACGUUGGUCAGGAUGAACUUCUCCUGCUGCAGUGUGAUGAUGACAGGUCUGGAGAUGAUCUGCAAGUCCAGCUCAUAGGUGAGAGCCAGGCAUGGGCACUGCAGGAGCAGAGAGGUGUCAGGGAACAGCCAAGGCAUCAAAGAGCAUCACAAAGCAUUGAAAAGCGUCACAAAGCUGCAGCCAGGAAGCUGGGGAUUUUAAUGAGCAGCAACCAGGAUGCUAUUUGCUACCAUACAAAACAGUAGCAGAUCUCUCCCUGCAGACACCCCAAAGCCAUACAACGUGGGAACAAAGCCAGAGCUCUGCAGCACACAGCCAAAAGCCAUACCAUUGCAAGCUGAAGUGCCUUGCAGUUUUUUAUAUUGAACCCAGUCCCUGUGAAUGAAGACCCAGAACGGAGUCAAGGUGUUGAUUGAACAUGAGUAUGCCUUUACUCAUUAAAAGACAGAAGGGCAAGAGAGAUCCAGAGUAAAAGAGGGACUCCUCUGGGAAUUGAGAGACUAGUUCAGAGCUUGUGCUGCUGCCUGGUGCCUGGGACUGGCUGCCUGGCUCUAAGUCCGCCUCCAAGAAGCUCGGCUUCUCCUCAGCGAUGCCGACCUGCUCCUCAAGGAGGUGCUGCUGUUCAGGCACUUGGGCUCUGCUUGGGGUGGGCUGCACUGGAAAGGCAGUGGGUCACAAUCCAGGCUAGCGACUGUGAUGUCUGGCGGGCUCAGGUCAACAUCAUCAGCGGAGCCAGGAGAAAUGAGGGCAGGAACGUGGAUGAGCUCCUUAUCCCCAUUGUUGUUGUCAUGUGGAAGGCUGUCAUCAGAACUGCAGCGAUUCAUGCUUCCUAAGAGCUCUCCAUCGAAGGAAGCACACAGUGCAUCGCUGCUGGUCCCGGGUCUUCUGGAUCAAAACUGCUUAGAUUCACCUAGGAAUGAACAGAUGGACAGGGACUGGUGAAGAGUAACCUACAAAACGCUGACUGCUGCAGAGGACCGGUUGGAAGACGGCUGCUCCACACGCCCAUCGUGCCACAGCAGCUCCUUGCUGGAUGUGCCUGUGAUAACUGGUUAGCUCCUGACAGCAAUCCCCUCACAGUGGGGAAGAAAGCAGCGCUUGCACAGCUGGUUUUAUGAGCACUAAACAAGCACAACUAAAAUGCUCAAGGGA